GAGUAUAGAAUCAAGUCUCACUAAUAUGAGUGGGAAUGUUUUGUCUUUUGGGGGAUGUGUAGACCAACAUAGGAAAACUGUCCGGUGUUUUGGAGAGUUCCCAUUAUUGUAAUCGCUUAUCGAGGAUGGGUGGCCGUUGU